AAAAAGGGUCUGACGACUGCCCAAACCACACCGGUGAACCAUUUUUCUUAUUGAUGCUCUGGCAGGCCGCCCGCUGGGGGGGCUCAGGCCGCGGUUUCGCGGUGGUCUGCCGGUGGCUCGCAAACCAAAACUCUUUUGAACGUCUCUCUGAGAACAUCUAACUCCUCUUAGCGGGAGAAAAAAAAAAGUCA
rnacentral:misc_RNA from 1 species